rnacentral:rRNA from 1 species
CCCAGACUCCUACGGGAGGCUGCAGUCGAGAAUCAUUCGCAAUGCGCGCAAGCGUGACGGUGCGACGCCGCGUGCGGGGAGGAAGCCCUUCGGGGUGUAAACCGCUUUUCAGGGGUAUGAAGUGCCUCCGCCCAAUAAGCGGAUGGCAUUGACGUCAACUCUGGAAUAAGCCACGGCUAACUUCGUGUCAGCAGCCGCGGUAAGACGAAGGUGGCGAGCGUUGCUCGGAAUCACUGGGCUUAAAGAGGGCGUAGGCGGCUCGGUCUGUCGGGUGUGAAAUCCCUUGGCUCAACCAAGGAAUGGCGUCCGAUACUGCCGGGCUUGAGGCAUUCAGGGGCGACUGGAACUCUCGGUGGAGCGGUGAAAUGCGUAGAUAUCGAGAGGAACGCCAAUAGCGAAGGCAGGUCGCUGGGGAUGUCCUGACGCUGAGGCCCGAAAGCCAGGGGAGCGAACGGGAUUAGAUACCCCGGUAGUCCUGGCCCUAAACGAUGCACACUAGGUGGGGG